UUCUUUUUUUUUUUUUUUUCAUAUUUUAUUUGGGAGUGAGUUUGCAUCUCUUGUUUCAGUCCAGCUUUUCUGAUUUUACAUAGUGUAACAUCACUUUUGCCCUUCCAAUGUCCUCAUAAACAUAGUUCUGAAUUGUUAUUUGGUGCAUUUUGAUUAUAAGAGUAAUUUUGUUAUUCACAUUGUGGUGUCAUGUAUUACUUUGUAAGCGAAGCAAAUUAGCAUUGCCUAAUUAUGAUGUCUAAAGCAUCAAAGUCUAGGCACAUUGAAGAAAUUGACAAUUUUAGGAAAUUUGUUGUGGGUGGUUAUCAAAUUCUAGAAAUUAUUUUUUAUUUAUUUUUCCCCAAUUAUAUGUACAUUUUUAGCAUUGGACUUGAGUGUUUA
rnacentral:misc_RNA from 1 species